rnacentral:piRNA from 1 species
UAUUAUUUGUGAUAGUUGAGA